GGCUCAACACUGAAAUCUUGAGGAUGAAAAACAGAAUUUGCAGGGUGUGUCCCAAAGGGGAGCUGUGGUCUUUUCUAUGUGACCAUAUCUUCUGCCUACCCUUGGAUUCAUGUCGAGAUCUGCUAACAGGAUCAAGUGAAUGAAAUAUUUGGUGCCUUAGUCCUUUAGUGUUUCUAUGAAGGAAUACCUGAGGCUGGAUAAUUUCUAAAGAAAAGAGGUUUAUUUGUCUCAUUAUUCUGCUGGCUGGAAGAUUAGGCAGCUGAUAAAUCAAAAUGUAAAAUGUUUGUGUUACAAAAAAUAUCACUAAGCCAAUGGAAAAACAAGUUCUUCAUAGGGAGAAAACAUUUGCCAGUCAUAUUUUUGAUAAAGAACUUGUAUCUAGACUAUAUAAAGAGUUUUAUACUCAAAAAUAAAAUUUAAAUGAGCAAAAGAUUUGAGUAGACACUUUACUAAAGAGAAUAUUCAAAUUGCCAAUCAUGGUGCAUAA
rnacentral:lncRNA from 1 species